AGAGGAAGAGCGCUACAUAGAAGUACUACUUCGUGGAUGAGGGGGCGGAUCUCCCAUGGAGGCUCUUGCCGGCUGUUGAUGGAUUCUACCAAGAGUAAGCAAUCCGAAUCAAUCUCCAGAGUAGUCACCGUUUGUUGCUGUAGUACGUGGUGGAGAGCACAAAUCAGCGCCUGAGCUUCCGUCUGCAGAGCCGACGCCGCUUGCACAGAUCUGGGACCCCGGAGCAGGAGAUCUCCAGAAGCAGUCCAAAGUGUCGCACGUUUGCCCCUUUCGCAAUAGAGAUGGAUCGAAGGGCUUAGCAGAUCGAACUUGGGCUGUGGCAGCAAGAACAACAGAAUAUGGAUCCAUACGAUGGUUGGAGAAUAUUGCCCUGUUUCAGGCUUUCCAUAUCUGCCAACAAACUGGUAUAAUAAUCUCCAGGGCAGGGGCAGAACAAGAAGAGGUGCUCAAUCGACUCCGACUGUUGGGGGUGACAAAGAGGGCAGAAGGGAUCGAGACUAAUACGGCGUCGAGAGAGAUUCUCUUUUGUGGGCAACGCAUUAUGGCAGACAUUCCAGAAGAAGACCCCAAGCUUUGGCGGGAGUUUAAGUUUCCAGAUGCGCUUCCAAAGUUGAGGAGGUUGCUGAUAUGACGAUGAGGCGUGCAAGGUAAGAGUACCUCUUUCUGUUGUCCUGAUGGAAUUAUAACUGCUUUGAACUGUAUAUUGGCCAUUGUUUGUAGCUAUCUAUACUAGUUUAUCGGUUGUAAGGUUUCGUUGCACUGGAAUG